rnacentral:tRNA from 1 species
UGCCGAGACGAGGAAUAAAAAAACCUCCACGGACA